AGUGAAGAGCCCCUCCGCCCGGCAGCCACCCCGUUUGGGAGGGGACAUUUGGACACAGACACAGACAUGCUCAGAGGGAAGACUGCAUGAAGAGACUAGGAAAAUGCCAUUUGGAGGUAGAGGAUUGAGUGAUACAUCUACAAGCCAAGUGUUGCCAAGAUUGCCAGCAAACCACCAGAAGCCAGGCAAGGGGCAUGGAACAGAUAUCCUCCUUCACAGCCCUCACAAAGAACCAACCCCACUGACACCUGGAUUUUGGACAUCUAGCCUCCCAAACUGUGAGACAAUAAAUGUCUGCUAUUUUAAGCUGC